rnacentral:rRNA from 1 species
AAUCAACGCUGGCGGCGUGCCUAACACAUGCAAGUCGAACGCGAAAGUCCCGCAAGGGAUAAGUAGAGUGGCAAACGGGUGAGUAACACGUGGGUGACCUGCCUUCGGGUGGGGGAUAACGUCCCGAAAGGGACGCUAAUACCGCAUGACAUCCUGCUUUUGAACAGGUGGAGAUCAAAGCUGGGGAUCGCAAGACCUAGCGCUUGAAGGAGGGGCCCGCGCCUGANAGCUAGUUGGUGGGGUAACGGCUCACCAAGGCGACGAUCAGUAUCCGGCCUGAGAGGGCGGACGGACACACUGGGACUGAGACA